rnacentral:rRNA from 1 species
UACGUAGGGUGCAAGCGUUAAUCGGAAUUACUGGGCGUAAAGCGUGCGCAGGCGGCUUUGCAAGACAGAUGUGAAAUCCCCGGGCUUAACCUGGGAACUGCAUUUGUGACUGCAUGGCUGGAGUGCGGCAGAGGGGGAUGGAAUUCCGCGUGUAGCAGUGAAAUGCGUAGAUAUGCGGAGGAACACCGAUGGCGAAGGCGGCCUCCUGGGAUAACACUGACGCUCAUGCACGAAAGCGUGGGGAGCAAACAGG